rnacentral:rRNA from 1 species
GACGAACGCUGGCGGCGUGCUUAACACAUGCAAGUCGAACGCUGAAGCUCAGCUUUUGUUGGGUGGAUGAGUGGCGAACGGGUGAGUAACACGUGAGUAACCUGCCCCCUUCUUUGGGAUAACGCCCGGAAACGGGUGCUAAUACUGGAUAUUCACUGGUCUUCGCAUGGGGGUUGGUGGAAAGGGUUUUUCUGGUGGGGGAUGGGCUCGCGGCCUAUCAGCUUGUUGGUGGGGUGAUGGCCUACCAAGGCUUUGACGGGUAGCCGACCUGAGAGGGUGACCGGUCACAUUGGGACUGAGAUACGGCCCAGACUCCUACGGGAGGCAGCAGUGGGGAAUAUUGCACAAUGGGCGCAAGCCUGAUGCAGCGACGCCGCGUGAGGGAUGGAGGCCUUCGGGUUGUGAACCUCUUUCGCUCAUGGUCAAGCCGCAACAAUGGUUGUGGUGAGGGUAGUGGGUAAAGAAGCGCCGGCUAACUACGUG